AGUGGCGGACGGGUGAGUAACGCGUGGGUAACCUGCCUUGUACUGGGGGACAACAGUUGGAAACGACUGCUAAUACCGCAUAAGCGCACAGCUUCGCAUGAAGCAGUGUGAAAAACUACCGGUGGUACAAGAUGGACCCGCGUCUGAUUAGCUGGUUGGUGAGGUAACGGCCCACCAAGGCAACGAUCAGUAGCCGGCCUGAGAGGGUGAACGGCCACAUUGGGACUGAGACACGGUCCAAACUCCUACGGGAGGCAGCAUG
rnacentral:rRNA from 1 species